GAAUUUUGGACAAUGGGCGAAAGCCUGAUCCAGCAAUGCCGCGUGCAGGAUGAAGGCCUUCGGGUUGUAAACUGCUUUUGUACGGAACGAAAAGCUUUGGGUUACUACCCUGGACUCAUGACGGUACCGUAAGCAUCAGCAACGGCUCACUACCUUCCAGCCGCCGCGGUAAUACGUAGGGUGCAAGCGUUAAUCGGAAUUACUGGGCGUAAAGCGUGCGCAGGCGGGUUGGUAAGACAGAGGUGAAAUCCCCGGGCUGAACCUGGGAACUGCCUUUGUGACUGCAAGGCUAGAGUACGGCAGAGGGGGGUGGAAUUCCGCGUGUAGCAGUGAAAUGCGUAGAUAUGCGGAGGAACACCGAUGGCGAAGGCAACCCCCUGGGCCUGUACUGACGCUCAUGCACGAAAGCGUGGGGAGCAAACAGG
rnacentral:rRNA from 1 species